rnacentral:rRNA from 1 species
CCUACGUGUGGCAGCAGUGAGGAAUAUUGGUCAAUGGACGAGAGUCUGAACCAGCCAAGUAGCGUGAAGGAUGACUGCCCUAUGGGUUGUAAACUUCUUUUAUAUGGGCAUAAAACAGGUUAUGCAUACCCUCUUGUAUGUACCAUAUGAAUACGGAUCGGCUACCUCCGUGCCAGCAGCCUCGGUACUACGGAGGAUCCGCGCGUUAUCCGGAUUUAGUUGGUUUAUAGGGAGCGUAGAUGGGUUGUUAAGUCAGUUGUGAAAGUUUGCGGAUCAACCGUAAAAUUGCAAUUGAUACUGGCAGUGUUGAGUACAGUUGAGGUAGGCGGAAUUCGUGGUGUAGCGGUGAAAUGCUUAGAUAUCACGAAGAACCCCGAUUGCGAAGGCAGCUUACUAAACUGUGACUGACAUUGAUGCUCGAAAGUGUGGGUAUCAAACAGGAUUAGAUACCCCUGUAGUC